rnacentral:rRNA from 1 species
UACAGAGGUCCCGAGCGUUGUUCGGAUUCACUGGGCGUAAAGGGUGCGUAGGUGGCAUGGCCAGUUUGAUGUGAAAGCUCAGGGCUUAACCCUGAAAUGGCAUUGAAUACUGCUGUGCUGGAGGUUUGGAGGGGGGACUGGAAUUCUUGGUGUAGCAGUGAAAUGCGUAGAUAUCAAGAGGAACACCAGUGGCGAAGGCGAGUCCCUGGACAACACCUGACACUGAGGCACGAAAGCUAGGGGAGCAAACAGG